rnacentral:lncRNA from 1 species
UUUUGUGUAUAGGUCCAUUUCUCAGAACCCUAUGGUAGUGUAUCAAUGAUAUUAGACUAUUGGUAGUGUUCUUGCUUAGUGCAGCACAGUUCAGCAUCUUUUUGGUCACUAUGACCUACAUUUUAUACUUCAGUGAUUUUGGUAAAGUUUUGUGUCGAGGAUUAUUUCUCAAGAACCUAAUGUAGUAUAUCAAUGAUAUUAAUGUAUUGUAGUGUCCUUGCAUAGUGCAGCACAGUUCAGCAUCUUCUAGAAUACCAUGACCUACAUUUUAUGCUUGAAUGAUUUUGGUCAAGUUUUGCAUUUACUGCCAUUUCUCGGAAUCUGUGGUAGUGUAUCAAUGAUAUUACACUGUUGUAGUAUUCUUGCACAGUGCAGCACAGUUUGACCUCUUUUUGGUCACUUUGACAUAUCUUAUGCUUGAGUGACUUUGGUUUAAAUUUGCCAUACAGCUCUUUUCAGCAGCAUUUUGGUCAAUUUUUACAUGAGAGAACAUGGAACCUCAUAUUGAUCUAAAUGGCAGGGCAUCUGUGGCUUACAGACACAUUUUCUAGUUUUUCUUUAUGUUCCUUAUGAACUUUCGCAACAGUAGAGUACGACAGAUUUAGCAUAGCUUUUACCGUUUUCGAGCUAUUAGGGGCCAAAGUGGUGCUAAAUAAAAAAAAAACCAAAAAAAAGUUUUUUUAUUACUAAUCAGAAUUCUCUGUCCAGCAUAUUACUGUGUCCAGCAUAUUAUUGUGUCCAGCAUAUUAUUGUGUCCACUUUAGUAGUGUGUCAAUGCUUGCCCAAAUGAACACCUGUUCGACCACUGCGGUCGUAUCAUGCUGCGCUUGGCGUAGCUCUUUAUUCUGGUAAUGCUUCAACCAAAUGAUAAUAUCUUUGGUAUGUAGCCUUAUUAUGAAGAGUUACAGAUUAAGUUAGAGUUUGGUGACGGUUCAAUGAUUUUCACGGAAGCUACAGCCCUUGGACAUAGAAAAAUUCAAUAUCAAAGAAAUUGUAAAUGUAAAACCACUGGCAGUGGGGCUAAACAAACCAAAUAUAAAAC